UACGGAAUGUGCAAACGUUAUUCGGAAUCACUGGGCUUAAAGAGUCCGUAGGCGGCUUGUUAGGUGAGGUGUGAAAUCCCUCGGCCCAACCGAGGAAUUGCGCUUCAAACCGGCAAGCUAGAGGAGGAUAGAGGUGGGCGGAACUGAUGGUGGAGCGGUGAAAUGCGUUGAUAUCAUCAGGAACACCGGAGGCGAAGGCGGUCCACUGGGUCCUUUCUGACGCUGAGGGACGAAAGCUAGGGGAGCGAACGGGGA
rnacentral:rRNA from 1 species